rnacentral:rRNA from 1 species
AUGCGGGAAGAAGCAGUACCGGAAGGAGCUGUGGACUGCAUGGAAGAGAGAAUGCCGGAAUGAGUAGCGAGAAUAAGGUGGGAAUCCUUAUGGCCGAAUAUCCAAGGUUUCCAGAGUAAAGCUGAUCUGCUCUGGGUAAGUCGGGGCCUAAGGCGAGGACGAGAGUCGUAGCCGAUGGACAACAGGUGGAGAUUCCUGUACUGCGGUAUGACAGAACUGUGGGGACACGUAAGGAAAGCGGAAGCCGGGAAUGGAGAGCCCGGUGCAAGCGGGGUACCAGCCACUUUGGCAAAUCCGGGUGGCAAUGGGAAGCCGUGAUGCGGAGCGAAAUAAAGUAGCGAAGUCCGUGAGCCAUGCGUCAAGAAAAGCCGCUAUCGUUUAUACCGUACCCGUACCGUAAACCGACACAGGUGGAUGAGGAGAGAAUCCUAAGGCCGGCGGAAGAAGCAUUGUCAAGGAACUCGGCAAAAUGGCCCCGUAACUUAGGGAUAAGGGGUGCCUGGGAAACCAGGCCGCAGAGAAUAGGCUCAAGCAACUGUUUAGCAAAAACACAGGUCUAUGCGAAACCGAAAGGUGAGGUAUAUGGGCUGACGCCUGCCCGGUGCUGGAAGGUUAAGAGGAGAGGUUAGCGGUAACGCGAAGCUUUGAAUUUAAGCCCCAGUAAACGGCGGCCGUAACAAUAACGGUCCUAAGGUAGCGAAAUUCCUUGUCGGGUAAGUUCCGACCCGCACGAAAGGCGUAAUGAUUUGAGCGCUGUCUCGACAAUGCAUCCGGUGAAAUUGAAGUACCAGUGAAGAUGCUGGUUACCUGCGCCAGGACGGAAAGACCCCAUGGAGCUUUACUCCAGUCUGGUACUGGGACUCGGUAUUGCAUGUACAGGAUAGGUGGGAGGCUAGGAGAUGGUAACGCCAGUUGCCAUGGAGCCGCUGUUGGGAUACCACCCUUGCAGUAUUGGGUUUCUAACCAGCCGCCGUGACCCGGCGGUGGGACAAUGCCAGACGGGGAGUUUGACUGGGGCGGUCGCCUCCGAAAGGGUAUCGGAGGCGCCCAAAGGUUCCCUCAGAAUGGACGGAAACCAUUCGAAGAGUGCAAAGGCAGAAGGGAGCUUGACUGCGACACCGACGGGUGGAGCAGGUACGAAAGUAGGGCUUAGUGAUCCGGUGGUAUUAAGUGGGAAUGCCAUCGCUCAACGGAUAAAAGCUACCCUGGGAUAACAGGCUUAUCACUCCCAAGAGUUCACAUCGACGGAGUGGUUUGGCACCUCGAUGUCGGCUCAUCGCAUCCUGGGGCUGUAGUAGGUCCCAAGGGUUGGGCUGUUCGCCCAUUAAAGCGGUACGCGAGCUGGGUUCAGAACGUCGUGAGACAGUUCGGUCCCUAUCCGGCGUGGGCGUAGGAUAUCUGAGAGGAGCUGUCCUUAGUACGAGAGGACCGGGAUGGACGGGCCGCUGGUGCGUCGGUUAGACUGCCAAGUCUACGGCCGAGUAGCCAAGCCCGGAAGGGAUAAACGCUGAAGGCAUCUAAGCGUGAAGCCCCCCUUAAGAUGAGAUAUCCCAUUCGAAAGAAGUAAACCCCCUUGAAGACGACGAGGUAGAUAGGGCAGAGGUGGAAGUGCAGCAAUGCAUGGAGCUGACUGUUACUAAUCGGGUGAGGGCUUGACCG